rnacentral:lncRNA from 1 species
CAAAGCCCAGGUCUUGACAUAGAUACAGAUAACAUACACGCCCAGAUGAUGUCACAAUCAGCUGUAUCUAAACAGAGCAGAGCUCAGGUGACAUCACAGAACAGGCAGAGGCAGUUCAGGGGUAUUCUGGUUGCCUUACCCAGCUCUGAAGUCUGUCAGCCUCUUCAGAUGUCACUUGCCAUGUGGUAAGGAAGUGUAGUCAGCAGCUGGUGCAGUGGGAAGAAGAGAAAGGAAGUUCCCCAAGACAAAAACAUCUCGGCAGACCGUGAUCAUGGGCUACAUUCUCCGUACCAGCUUCAUAGCUCCAGUGAGAAAAUAAAUUCCUGCAUCCAGGAGAUGUGGAGUAAGAGAUACAGCUGCCCUUGACCAUAUUUCUUACUUCCGAGAAGAUCGUAGCAGUAAUUCAGUACAGUCUUCAGGGAACACCAAGGCCUGUUUGAUUUUCCAAGUAUCAACAAGUGGAGUUGACAAGAGUGACAAGUGGUCAGAGCAAAGCAUUUCAUGAUGACUGUAACGUGCCUGUGUCAGCAGCGACUGCUUACAGUGAGAUUCACAUGACCAUCGUUUAUGACAUAGGAAGAAUAAAAGGAGAGAGAGAGAGAAAGAUAGGUAGUUGAUCAAAAUGAAGAAUUGGAUUUGGAAAGCAACUUCGAAUAGUCUCUGCUUAUAUUUCUGAGAUUAAGGCAAACAGUCUCAAGAAUCUCAUCCAGGAUACCUCAUCACAGGCUGGAGUGCAGUGUCAUGAGCUUGGCUCACUACAGCCUCCAUCUUCUGUGCUUAAGGAUCCUUCCCUCUCAACCUCCAAGGUAGCUGAGACUACAGGCAACAUUCGAAACCCAGGUGCCACUCCUUCAGGAAGGUACCAUCAAGCUCCAAGGACUCAUCCUCUUUCUCCUUCCCCACUACCUAGUCAUUAGAGCGUCAGCAUCCACUUCCUGAAAGGAAGAUGCCUGUUUUUCACAUAUCCCAGAAAGCCUCAUUUUAGGACAGCAUUUAGCAGAGUGUAUUCAGGAUCCCACUAACCUUUUCGGAAGACAUGACUUCCAGAUGAUAUAAGGCAAGAAUAAGAAAUUUCAGUGACAGGGAACAGAAAUCAUAUUUCUGCAUUCAGGAUCAUGUUUUCUUGGCUCCAUCAGGAACUGUGCAGGACUGUGCACUCUGUUGAUACUCACAUGGUGGAAUUAUAUUGCCCUUGGCCAACCCUAAAGCCAUCAAGAUAGCAGGUUUGGAAUAAUUCACUGUCGAAGUCUUCUUGAGCUGAGCAGUCAUGUGAGCUUGGAAGAUGAUCCCUCUCCAGCUGAUCCUUCAGCUCAGGCCAUCAUCUACAUCUGGAUUCCUGACCCGGAGAAACUAUGAGUAAUGUGUGCUGCUUUUGAGCCACUAAGCUACAUGAAUUAAUGAAGGAUCAUUAUUAAGUUUUUAAUGGGUCAAGAGAAAGUUACCACUGAGGUCUUCUCUACCUGGGCAACAAUUGACUCCUAACAACCACUAUAAGCUUGGAAGAUGAUCCCUCCCCAGCUGAUCCUUCAGGAAUUUCCACUGAAGUACCUCUGGUUGAAAAGGAGAACAGAGACUUUUUUCACAGCCACAGGACAAAAUUUGUUCAGAAUUAAAUGCUGAAAAAGGAGAACCUGACACCAUUAUUCAUAAUUUCACUGUAUAUGAAGAGCAACCCUAUACUCCAUACAAACAACAUAGACUGUGGAAUUAUGUUGUGAAAUGUAAAGAGAAGAUGAUUCCCAAAUUUAAAGGAAACUGGAGGUGUUCUGGAGAAACAAAUAGAGGCUGGAGUGCCGUGGCACAAUUAUGGUUCACCAGCCUCAACCUCCUGGGAUCAAGCAAUCGUCUCACCUCAGCCUCCUGAGUAGCUGGACUGCAGAUGUAAGUGGGAUCUGUGGAUCUGAAAAUUCACAGUGGCCAGCUCACCACCACCUGAUGAAAGAUACACCACAGGGUGAGAGCAUCCUAACAGCAAACUGCAAAUGAGAUACUUUGACGAAGGUAAUUGGGACUCCCAUCAAGUCUCCACACAGCUAGCAGCCACGUGGGGCACUUCUCCAGGUUCACAGCUGGAGAGCCAUUGUCUCGGGAUUAAUUGUACCUUGAGCAUCACCUAUAUCUGAUUUAGAUGAUAUUUACAUGCGACUUUCGACUUACACUUGAAAGUUGAUGCUGGAAUGAGUUAAGACAUUUUGGAGUUACUAAGAUGGAAUGGACAUAUUCUUGUGGGUGAGAACGACAUGAAUUCUCAUGUCAUGGCAAGGGUGGAGUGCUAUGGUUUGAAUAAUGGUGUCCCUUCUAAAAUUAGUGUGGAAAUUUAAUGCCCAAUGCAACAGUAUUAAGAGGUUUGGCAAUUGCGUGGUGACUAAGCCAUGAGGGCUCUGCUCUAAUGCAUGAGAUUAACAUCUCUAUAAAAGUGUAUUAAUUUAAAGGGAGUACUUUCUUGCCCUUCUGCCCCAUUCACCAUGUGAGGACAUAGUCAUGGCUCCUCCACAGGAUGCAGCAACAAGACAUCAUCUUGGAAACAGACAGCAGCCCCGUUUAGACCUCCUUCUGCUGCUUUGAUCUUGGACCUCUCAUCCUCCAGAAACACGACAAAUAAGUUUAUGUUCUUUAUAAGUUA